rnacentral:rRNA from 1 species
UACGGAGGGGGCAAGCGUUGUUCGGAAUUACUGGGCGUAAAGGGCGCGUAGGCGGCCAGUUGCGUCGGGUGUGAAAGCCCCGGGCUCAACCUGGGAGGUGCACUUGAUACGGGCUGGCUGGAAUCCGGGAGAGGAUGGUAGAAUUCCCAGUGUAGAGGUGAAAUUCGUAGAUAUUGGGAAGAACACCGAUGGCGAAGGCAGCCAUCUGGACCGGGAUUGACGCUGAGGCGCGAAAGCGUGGGGAGCAAACAGG